GACCCUGUUCUGAUGUCUUUGGUUGGGGCGACCGCGGGGAAUACAAAUCCCCCAGGUGGAUUGGGAGACCCUCUCCUACAGCCAAGAGCUACAGCUCUAAGCAAUAGAACUUCUAACCUAAAGAUCCGGCAAAGCGAAUCAACGAACCGAGUUACCCUAGGGAUAACAGCGCAAUCCCCUUCUAGAGCCCAUAUCGACAAGGGGGUUUACGACCUCGAUGUUGGAUCAGGACAUCCUAAUGGUGCAGCCGCUAUUAAGGGGUUCGUUUGUUCAAACGAUUAAAGUCCUACGUGAUCUGAGUUCAGAC
rnacentral:rRNA from 1 species